GAUGAAGAACGUAGCGAAAUGCGAUACGUAGUGUGAAUUGCAGAAUUCAGUGAAUCAUCGAAUCUUUGAACGCACAUUGCGCCCUUUGGUAUUCCAAAGGGCAUGCCUGUUCGAGCGUCAUUUGUACCCUCAAGCUUUGCUUGGUGUUGGGCGUCUUGUCUCCAGUCCGCUGGAGACUCGCCUUAAAGUCAUUGGCAGCCGGCCUGCUGGUUUCGGAGCGCAGCACAAGUCGCACUCUUUUCCAGCCAAGGUCAGUGUCCAACAAGCCUUUUUUCAACUUUUGACCUCGGAUCAGGUAGGGAUCCCCGCUGAACUUAAGCAUAUCAAUAAGCGGAGGA
rnacentral:misc_RNA from 1 species